CGUAGGGCUGUCUCUUUUCUUGGUGUUGCAUCAUGUCCUAGUGUCCUGCUGUGCUGUGCAGUGCAGAUGUUAAGAAAUGACAUUUGAAGACGGAUUAACAUGAACGCUAAGUUUUUCCGGUAAGAGGGGACCUAAAAUGUCAUCGCUCUUCAGGACAUGCUAGUGUUUCCGCAAUAUCUUUUUAAUGUGGUCUGCUUCAAAUGGAUUGUUGUGCCAUAUCUGUUCUGCUUCCCAUUCGGCUACGAAAAGGUUGGC